rnacentral:rRNA from 1 species
AACGAACGCUGGCGGCGUGCCUAACACAUGCAAGUCGAACGGAAUUAGAGAGCUUGCUCUUUAAUUUAGUGGCGCACGGGUGAGUAACGCGUAGAUAAUCUGCCCGACGAUCUGGGAUAGCAGUUCGAAAGGACUGCUAAUACCGGAUAAGCCCACGGGGUCUUUGGACUCUGCGGGAAAAGGUGGGGACCUUCGGGCCUACCGCGAUUGGAUGCACCCAUGUGGGAUUAGCUGGGUGGUGAGGUAACGGCUCACCUAGGCGACGAUCUCUAGCUGGUCUGAGAGGAUGACCAGCCACACUGGAACUGAGACACGGUCCAGACUCCUACGGGAGGCAGCAGUGGGGAAUAUUGCACAAUGGGGGAAACCCUGAUGCAGCCAUGCCGCGUGUGUGAAGAAGGCCUUCGGGUUGUAAAGCACUUUCAGUGGGGAGGAAGGGGAGUAAGCUAAUAACUUGCUUCAUUGACGUUACCCACAGAAGAAGCACCGGCUAACUCCGUGCCAGCAGCCGCGGUAAGAC